rnacentral:rRNA from 1 species
AACGAACGCUGGCGGCAUGCCUAACACAUGCAAGUCGAACGAGACCUUCGGGUCUAGUGGCGCACGGGUGCGUAACGCGUGGGAACCUGCCUUUAGGUUCGGAAUAACUCAGAGAAAUUUGAGCUAAUACCGGAUGAUGUCUUCGGACCAAAGAUUUAUCGCCUUUAGAUGGGCCCGCGUUGGAUUAGCUAGUUGGUGGGGUAAAGGCCUACCAAGGCGACGAUCCAUAGCUGGUCUGAGAGGAUGAUCAGCCACACUGGGACUGAGACACGGCCCAGACUCCUACGGGAGGCAGCAGUGGGGAAUAUUGGACAAUGGGCGAAAGCCUGAUCCAGCAAUGCCGCGUGAGUGAUGAAGGCCCUAGGGUUGUAAAGCUCUUUUACCCGAGAUGAUAAUGACAGUAGCGGGAGAAUAAGCUCCGGCUAACUCCGUG